GACGAACGCUGGCGGCGUGCCUAAUACAUGCAAGUCGAGCGAAGUUUUUCUGGUGCUUGCACCGGAAAAACUUAGCGGCGAACGGGUGAGUAACACGUAAAGAACCUGCCUCAUAGACUGGGACAACUAUUGGAAACGAUAGCUAAUACCGGAUAACAGCAUUAACUGCAUGGUUGAUGUUUAAAAGUUGGUUUUGCUAACACUAUGAGAUGGCUUUGCGGUGCAUUAGCUAGUUGGUGGGGUAAAGGCCUACCAAGGCGACGAUGCAUAGCCGACCUGAGAGGGUGAUCGGCCACACUGGGACUGAGACACGGCCCAGACUCCUACGGGAGGCAGCAGUAGGGAAUCUUCCGCAAUGGGCGAAAGCCUGACGGAGCAACGCCGCGUGAGUGAAGAAGGAUUUCAGUUCGUAAAGCUCUGUUGUUAGGGAAGAAUGAUUGUGUAGUAACUAUACACAGUAGAGACG
rnacentral:rRNA from 1 species